GGUCAAGCGAUGAAGCGCACACGGUGGAUGCCUUGGCAGUCAGAGGCGAUGAAAGACGUGGAAGCCUGGAUAAGGUUCGGCGAGGUGGCAAACAACCUGCGACCCGGACAUCUCUGAAUGGGGAAACCCACCUAUCGUCAGAUAGGUAUCGUGCACUGAAUACAUAGGUGUACGAGGCGAACCGGGGGAACUGAAACAUCUAAGUACCCCGAGGAAAAGAAAUCAACCGAGAUUCCCCCAGUAGCGGCGAGCGAACGGGGACCAGCCCUUAAGCGGGUGAAAGGUUAGGCGAAUGAGUUGGGAAACUCAGCGAUACAGGGUGAUAGCCCCGUAGUCGAAAGCCUGAUCCCGUGAAAUCGAGUAGGUCGGGGCACGUGAAACCCUGAUGAAGACGGGGGGACCAUCCUCCAAGGCUAAAUACU
rnacentral:rRNA from 1 species